UGGAGGGAUAGCAAGUCAGUGCCUUCACAUCACCACCACGAUGAACAGACUCGUGAUUGGUGUGGUGUUCGUGUCCCUGCUCGUGGCCGCGGCUUUGGCUAGCCCUAGGCCUUACCCUGGUUUCUUCUUUGGCGGUAAAAAAGGAGGUGGAUUUGGUGGGAAAUGUUGUAAAGGUGGGGGAGGCGGUGGGUAUGGUGGCGGUGGUGGUGGAUACGGGGGCGGUGGACACGGCGGAGGCGGUGGACACGGUGGUGGUGGAUACGGAGGCGGUGGACACGGCGGAGGUGGUGGACACGGCGGUGGUGGAUACGGAGGGGGUGGACACGGCGGAGGUGGUGGACACGGCGGUGGUGGAUACGGAGGCGGUGGACACGGCGGUGGCGGAGGAGGCGGCUAUGGCGGUGGUGGUGGCGGCUAUGGUGGUGGUGGUGGAUGUUGUGGUGGCGGCGGUGGCGGAUAUCACUAAGAUCAACCCUGUAAGAAAAUUGCCCUCUCGGAUGUCUUAUGAAAAAAAAGAAUAUAAUUAUUUUGUAUUUUAUUCCAAUAAAAUCUACUAGUCCUUUUGUUUAUCUAUUUUCACUUUUAUUAAUCUAUUACUUAAUUAGAACAGCAUUGGUGCUUAUUAGCUUAUUUGUGUGUUUAGAUCGUUGAGUUUAUAUGAUAAUUUGUGGCUUUGUGUGUUUUUUCGCUUAUCUACGAUUAUUUAUUUAUUUCUCGUGGUAACAUGGAAACAAAUGCUCCACCGCCUACUACCAUGUUUAUCUCUUUCAAGACACGCUCACCGACCUUGAUAAGCCUGGCAAGUUAUUUUCUUUGGUUGUGUAUGAUUUUGCAAAAGGCUUCGACCUUAUAGACCACUCAGUUGUUAUCCAGAGUCUCUUCGUAUUAAGACUGCAAUCCACACUUCUCCGCUGGUCGCAGAGUCCAAGGCCCUUUUAGGAAGCUUAGUGAGUGGAGCAGAACAAUAAGUGUUGCACCUCAGGGUGCUCUAUGUGGGCCCAUCGCCUUGCUGCAAGAGACUCCCACAGACGCCUCAAGUACGUCGACGAUCUUACCAUCUAUGAGUCAGCACCACCAGCACCCUAGGCCUCAGAAAGCGACAUAUUUACCAACAAGAAACCCCUAAUCUACCGGGAUCUAACGAUAACCGAUACCAGCAUCCCGGCAGUGGAGUCACCAUCAUCAACAACCUUUCAUGACAAGACUACGUUAACAAUAUCACCACAAGAGCAGCCAAGUUUCUUCACAUUCUUUACACCCUCAGAAAAGUUAAUGCUCCACCACAACUGAUCAGAGCAUACGUCAUGUACAUCCGACCCAUCCUGGAACACUGCUGCCCACUCCUCCUCGCCGGGCUCAUACUACAGCAGGUGAAGCAGACAGAAGGAAUUCAACGUCGGGGUUAUGAUAAUAGCAGUGAGAUGGAACACUAGGUAUCAAAACGCCCUUGAUAUGUUCGAACCGACUACAUUGGGACAGAAGUACGAGGAUCUGUGCCUGAAGUUCGAUCAUGGUCUACUGGAAGAGCCACGCCAUUAUGACCUACUGCAGCCACGGAGGCAAGAGGUCAGUGCCACGGUAACACGGGGCUCAGAUCAUGUUGAAAACUUAUGCUGUGGCACCAGAUUCAGGAAAUCGUGUAUCCUAUGUAGUGUAUCCAAACUUAAUUCACUUUAUUUAUGACUAAAACUUCAUCUUUGUAAUAUUUUAAUUCAUGUACCCAGAAACUUAACCUUUAUGUAUUUAUCAUUUGGUGGAGAUUUUAACCUUAACUUGUAUUAUUGUGGUGAUCUUAUACAACAUUUAUGUACACAUGUUUCUUAUACACUUUACGUAGCCAUGUAAUGUUUAUCAAUCUUUCUCUCUUUUUCUAUCAUUAAUUAUCUAUAUUUACCUAUAAUUAUCUUUCUCUAUAGUUGUAUAUUUUUUUAUUUCUUUAUACAUCCAUUUCCGUUCUUUCUUUAUUUAUAUUCCUUUUAGCUAUUCAUCUCUCUCUCUUACUCUUUCUUACUCCAUCUUUCCUUUAUUUCUAUCUACUUAUUCUUCUCGCUUUCUCUCUUUAUCAAUCAUUUUAUCAUCCUCUUCCUCUCUACCUAUAUUGAUCUUCUCUGUUUCCUCCUCUCUCCCGUUACUACACACAUUCCUCCGCCUUGCAUAUCAAAUUAAGUUCCACCAGUUAUUGUAUUAUCUGUCCAAUAAAUUAUUUCAAUUC